CAGCCGCCGCGGGAACACGGAGGAUCCAAGCGUUAUCCGGAAUCAUUGGGUUUAAAGGGUCCGUAGGCGGUCUUGUAAGUCAGUGGUGAAAGCCCAUCGCUCAACGGUGGAACGGCCAUUGAUACUGCAGGACUUGAAUUAUUGGGAAGUAACUAGAAUAUGUAGUGUAGCGGUGAAAUGCUUAGAGAUUACAUGGAAUACCAAUUGCGAAGGCAGGUUACUACCAAUUGAUUGACGCUGAUGGACGAAAGCGUGGGUAGCGAACAGGAUUAGAUACCCCGGUAGUCCUUGUCUCUUAUAC
rnacentral:rRNA from 1 species